rnacentral:piRNA from 1 species
UGAUAUGCCAAGGCUGAUGGAUAUGCAAG